AUGGAGGGUCCAACUCCAUUAUCUUCUUUGACUCAUGAAGCUACUAUGGUCACUACUCACGUUUUCAGGAUAGCAAGGAGCUAUGAUGUCAUCUGUGGCAACCACUGGAAUAUGACAGAAUGAUCUAACGAGGGUCAUAACUUAUCCAACUUGCAGCCAAUUAGGCAUUUAGGCUACAUGAUCUUUCCUUGCGGCAUGUCCGUGUAA
rnacentral:rRNA from 1 species